rnacentral:sRNA from 1 species
AACCAUAGUGUUGUUGCCGCGCGAAAAGGACAAAGUCUCAAGCAAGAAAUCUAACGGAAUGCAUGAUCUUUAUUGGCGACACUUCUGGUAUUUUUGUUUCACACUGUUCAGACCUGAUUUCUAUCUUUAACAAUCAAGACGAUUGACCGACAUUCGCAGUGGAAUUAGCUUCCUAUCGAUCUUUAGUUUGUUUUUUCUCUUUUUUCCAUAUUAGAUUUUUUUCACGUAUUUCUAAUACUCGAGCAGAUUGUUUAGCUAAAAACGCUCAGGCUCGAAAUAGUCUUUUUCCCCAUAUAAGCACAUCGGUUCCUAAAUGGCUCUCUCUAGCGGAUAGUUUCUUCCCGAUAACUUAAUAUAAAAGGUGUGUGGAGAAAAAGAAAAAGAAAGGAGGCAGUUUCAGGUUUUAGUGUUAAUCUAUCCUAAGAAGCGGUCUAAGGACUUGUAGGUGUUACAAUGAAGCCGGAGGAUUGUUCCCUCUCCACAGCUUAUACAAUGUCUU